rnacentral:rRNA from 1 species
GACGUAGGUGGCGAGCGUUGUUCGGAAUCACUGGGCAUAAAGCGCACGUAGGCGGCCAAGUCAGUCAGGUGUGAAAUACCUCGGCUCAACCGAGGAACUGCGCCUGAUACUGCUUGGCUUGAGGUCCGGAGGGGAGAGUGGAAUUCCCGGUGGAGCGGUGAAAUGCGUAGAGAUCGGGAAGAACGCCGGCGGCGAAAGCGACUCUCUGGUCGGAAUCUGACGCUGAGGUGCGAAAGCUAGGGGAGCAAACGGG